rnacentral:tRNA from 1 species
GAGGCCGUAGCUCAAAUGGAAGAGCGACAACCUUGCCAAGGUUGAAUGGAUGUCGGUUCGAGCCCGGUCGGUCUCCCCC